GACUUCGUGGUGUAGUGGUCAGCACGCUGGGCGCGUAUUCCAGAGGUCCGUGGUUCGAGUCCCGGCGAAGGCG
rnacentral:tRNA from 1 species